GAUGAACGCUGGCGGCGUGCCUAAUACAUGCAAGUCGAGCGAAUGGAUUAAGAGCUUGCUCUUAUGAAGUUAGCGGCGGACGGGUGAGUAACACGUGGGUAACCUGCCCUUAAGACUGGGAUAACUCCGGGAAACCGGGGCUAAUACCGGAUAACAUUUUGAACCGCAUGGUUCGAAAUUGAAAGGCGGCUUCGGCUGUCACUUAUGGAUGGACCCGCGUCGCAUUAGCUAGGUGGUGAGGUAACGGCUCACCAAGGCAACGAUGCGUAGCCGACCUGAGAGGGUGAGCGGCCACACUGGGACUGGGACACAGCCCAGACUCCUACGGGAGGCAGCAGUAGGGAAUCUUCCGCAAUGGACGAAAGUCUGACGGAGCAACGCCGCGUGAGUGAUGGAGGCUUUCGGGUCGUAAAACUCUGUUGUUAGGGAAGAACAAGUGCUAGUUGAAUAAGCUGGCACCUUGACGGUACCUAACCAGAAAGCCACGGCUAACUACGUGCCAGCCGCCGCGGUAA
rnacentral:rRNA from 1 species